CUCUGGGGAAGGAGAGGUGUGUUCGUGAGGUGGAGGAGGCGCCGAAUGGUUGGAUCGGGCAGUGACUGUGCGGCGGGGGUGGUGUCUAGGGCCGGUGGUACCUGGUCCUGGAGUUCCUGGCCGAGGAGGAGGGAGGGGCGCGGCGGAGCUUGCCCGGGGUGGCGGCGCCGUUCGGGCGCCGCGGUCCGCCGCCGCCUCCACCCCCACCGCACUGCUAGCUGCAGGUGCCGGACUUCUUCGCGCCGCCGCCCGCCGCGAGCACCCACGCCCACCUGCGCCGCUGCCCGCGCCGGCUCCGCCACCUCCAGCGGUUCGGCCGCGAGUACGCCGCCGAGCUGGACGGGCGCGCGCUGGAGGCGGAGGAGCUGGGCGAGAAGCAGAUGGGGAGGCGGUAGGAGCCGGCGCUCGCGCGGCAGCAGACGUUGGAGCUCGCCUAUGCCACGUAGUAGUGGCGACUGCUCCGCGAGCAGGACGCGCUGGGGCUGCGACUGCCGCCUCGGCGACGCCUCCUCCGGCACGCCUCCAUGCAGCUGCUCGACGUUGCGGCAGAGCACCUGACGCGGCUGCUGGACGGGAAGCUCAAGUAGCGAGACCUCCAGCGCGAGCUUCGGCGGACGAGGAAGGAUCUGCGAGUCCGACAACUCGACCUCCGACUUCGAAUAGGUGACGAUCUACUCAAUUGCCGGUUUUAGUCAUGGGAACUGAACCUCGCACGAGCUGCGGAUUUCUCGUUCGACCAACGUAACUGAUCCUCCCAGGUUUUCCAGUCUCUACUCUAUCUCGUUAACUACCUGCUGCUACCACUAUACCGACUUUACAUGGAGUGCCUUUUCUUCUACUCCUACCUUCGUAGUAGUAACCUGCUCCUCCCGGAAGUUCCUCAACGACCUUUAUUACGGAAGCCACGUAGGCAGAGACGAGGUCAAAGUGGUCAAAGCAGCGGGGGACGCGGGGCCGCCGAACUCUUCGUUAAAUCAAAACGAUCUUCGUCCGUGUCGUCGAAGUUCUCGAGUCUCUCGUCAGUUAUAUUGUAUCUUCUUGACCUUUACAACGACCUCCGAAUGAAACACCAAUAACUGAUGUGAGAGUCGUUUAAUUGAAGCCUAUUACAGGCCUUGGUUGACUAGGUCAAGCUCGACGACGACUGGUGGCGAUGCAAACACCAUCGGUAGAAGCCCCAACAGAGACCCCAGAAGCCGUACUUGAAACUCCCCCAGCGACACGAAUUUCACGGAGUGCGAAAACUCACCUGCGAGUAGUAUUGCCCACAAACACCGCGCCAGUAUAAGCGGACGGAGGACACCAUGAAAUUCUUCUCUUCCAAGAAGGGGAACAUUUUACAUAAGAACGUUGGAAGACGACGUACAACGUCUUUCGUCGUAAGCCGUCAAGUAAUAAAAUGGUCGAAGCGACCGCACGUUAACAUGUAUGAAAAAGAGGAAACAAGGUCACUUAUAUGUGUUACAACCUCGACG
rnacentral:rRNA from 1 species